rnacentral:lncRNA from 1 species
GUUUUGAAUGUUAUGUUGUUUGUUUUUACACCACGAUAAUAUUUUGUAUGUUGAUGCACUUGUAACGCUUUUUAUUUAAGAAAACAGUCCAUCAUAUAAGGGGUGUUACACCACUGUUUUCAACCAUCUAGAGUAGACUGUUUUAACCAUCUAGAGUAGACUGUUUCAACCAUCUAGAGUAGACUGUUUUAACCAUCUAGAGUAGACUGUUUUAACCAUCUAGAGUAGACUGUUUUCAACCAUCUAGAGUAGACUGUUUUAACCAUCUAGAGUAGACUGUUUCAACCAUCUAGAGUAGACUGUUUUAACCAUCUAGAGUAGACUGUUUUAACCAUCUAGAGUAGACUGUUUCAACCAUCUAGAGUAGACUGUUUUAACCAUCUAGAGUAGACUGUUUUAACCAUCUAGAGUAGACUGUUUUCAACCAUCUAGAGUAGACUGUUUUCAACCAUCUAGAGUAGACUGUUUUAACCAUCUAGAGUAGACUAGUUUCAACCAUCUAGAGUAGACUGUUUCAACCAUCUAUUGUAGACUGUUUAAACCAUCUAGAGUAGACUGUUUUCAACCAUCUAGAGUAGACUGUUUUCAACCAUCUAGAGUAGACUGUUUCAACCAUCUAGAGUAGACUGUUUCAACCAUCUAGAGUAGACUGUUUUCAACCAUCUAGAGUAGACUGUUUUCAACCAUCUCGACUCAGACACUUCCUAGUACAUCGUUCAUGUUAUACCACCACCUAGAGAAUAGACGUUAGCUCUGUGUCCAUCUCCUCCAUUAUGGGCGUUUUAACCCAAAAGACAAUGAGAGAGGGAGGGAAGUAAACCCAAGAGCAAAGCACAGAAUGAAGAAACAGAGGCAGUAUGUGUACUGUAGUCAGCACCAAGGCUACGUCGCUAGCUAGCUAGCUGUAAUCCCAGGGGCUGUUUGCUGUUGGUGAUGGUUCGUGUUAGCGAUGAGGCAGGGGUGUACAGAGAUGUAAUGGGUUGAGGGAGAUAGCCAUGUCUCCAAAAACCUAAGGUGAGUGUUCUGAAAGCUUUAUGGCUAACGUGGUACUUCAUUUCUCUCGACAACCCAGACUCAAGCCAUAUGUAGAACAUCAAACAUUGAUUUUGCAAUUGGUGCUCUCAUGGUUCAGUUGUCAAGAUAGACAAAGUGCCACGUUAGCCAUGAAGGUUCUGGGAAACUCUGAGUUCUGAGGUGUGUGGCAGGAAGUGAGAAAGGCUAAGGACAGCAGGUGAGGCAGGCUAAGAACAGGUGGUGUCUAGAUGCCUUAAGACGGUGUUUCAAAAGGGGUGUGUAUCAGUUUUAUGGUGUGACGUGACUGAAGAGGUUUUUAGUCGAUCAGACAGACAGUUGGUUUGGGUCGAGACGGGGCUGGUGUGAGAAUGAAAACCACUGACUAAAGGGUUACUGACUCAGUCUUUGGUCGGAUGACAGAACUCACCUCCUUGACGUAGACUCAAACCAACAUGUCUGAACAUCAUCAAGCCAACCAACAUUCGCACACAACCUCUCUCUCUAGGAGAGGUCCACCUCUCUCUCUAGGAGAGGUCUAUCUCUCUCUCUAAGAGAGGUCCAUCUCUCUCUCUAGGAGAGAUCCACCUCUCUCUCUAGGAGAGGUCCAUCUCUCUCUCUAGGAGAGAUCCACCUCUCUCUCUAGGAGAGGUCCACCUCUCUCUCUAGGAGAGGUCCAUCUCUCUCUCUAGGAGAGGUCCAUCUCUCUCUCUAGGAAAAGUCCAUCAACUAAUAUUUGUUUUCUUUAACCAUAUGUGUAGAGCUGUGUUCAGAGGAGAGGAGUGACGGAAAGGAAAAUAAAGAUGAAUUUACUACUCUGUGAUUUGUGAUUUCUGUCUGUGUGUCUGUGUCCUGAUG